AUGACGAGUACUCAGAGAAGAGAGACCGCCGAGAGCAUGCUGAAGACGUAUAUACCACCUGCAUGCCUGAUGCAUAUGUUCGUGAAGCAUUACAUGUGGCUGCAGUUUGACCAGGACGCAGAAGAAAUAUACGAAGAGAAACGUACCAAGAUUGAUGGCGUCGUGAUGAGGGCUAACCUAUCAAUUGAGCGUCAUGCUAGCAAGAUAUAUACUCGUGCGAUGUUCAAACAGUUUGGCCAAAUCCUCUAUGAAGCAGGAGCUUACGAAGUGGAGGAGAUUGAGAAGAACAGGGUGAUGGAUUAUGUAGGAAUCAAGGAGAUCCCCAAGAAGCACAUCGUGAAGAGGUGGACGAGAGACGCGCGAGAUGCGGUGCAACAGGCUCCAACCUUGUACAGCGAAGCUGUCGAACUAGUCAGUCUUGCAACUACUAGCGCAGAGGCCCGUGAUAGGUUAAGGGGGAUAUUCAAGGAAGCCAUGGAGAUCAUGGCACCAUACAAAGAAGCAAGAGGUGGCCUAGGGCUCGAGGAUCGGCGAACCUCAGAGAGGCAAAUGGUGAAUGAAAGACCAGCAGGUGAUUGCUCCGGAGACGACGACGAUACAGUGUCGGCAACACAAUACCAACUUGUCAGAGUACCUGCUCAGCCCGGAAGGCCGGCAUGUUGUGAGGAAGCACCGGAUGAGGAGGUGAGCAAACGUGGCAUCUUUUGCAGCAUUUGUCGGGGUCAAGGGCAUAAGAAGACGACCUGUUCGGAGAGGGGUGACCUGCCGAAGCAGCAGAGGAAGCAGGGGAGGUGUAGUAACUGUGGUGUUGCCGGACACCGUAAGACCACUUGCUCUGAGCCCCCUGGAUUUAAAAUCAAUGGUGGUAAAGGGGAAAAUGGCCUAGCCCAUUUUCUAUUCCACACGGCAAGAGACUGCAUUACUAGUACAUGA
rnacentral:rRNA from 1 species